rnacentral:lncRNA from 1 species
GCGGAAGAAGAAGGAGAAAAUAUCGAAGAAGAUGACCGAAGAUAAUUCCGUUGAGUACUCCUUUAAGAAUAAGGGUACUACGAAGACACAGCCCUUUUUCUAGCACUAAUUCUGUUGGUGUAGAAUUCUGCCGAUGUUGGAGAAGCUGGAGUUGAGGAGAUCGCAUCCGCCGUCGGGACCUGCAAGAGAAGUCUAAAUCAGAGUUGGGGGUGCUC